rnacentral:rRNA from 1 species
GCCCGAAAGGGAAUUGGAACACAGGUGCUGCAUGGCUGUCGUCAGCUCGUGUCGUGAGAUGUUGGGUUAAGUCCCGCAACGAGCGCAACCCUUAUCAUUAGUUGCUACGCAAGGGCACUCUAAUGAGACUGCCGGUGACAAACCGGAGGAAGGUGGGGAUGACGUCAAGUCCUCAUGGCCCUUAUGGGUAGGGCUUCACACGUCAUACAAUGGUCGGUACAGAGGGUUGCCAAGCCGCGAGGUGGAGCCAAUCCCAGAAAGCCGAUCGUAGUCCGGAUUGUUCUCUGCAACUCGAGAGCAUGAAGUCGGAAUCGCUAGUAAUCGCGGAUCAGCAUGUCGCGGUGAAUACGUUCCCGGGUCUU